AUAAUACUCCCUCCAUCCGAAAUUACUUGUCACAAAAAUGAUAUAAAUGGAUGUAUCUAGAACUAAAAUACAACUAGAUACAUCCAUUCCUACGACAAAUAUUUCCGGACGGAGGGAGUAGUAA
rnacentral:pre_miRNA from 1 species